UACGGAGGGUGCGAGCGUUGUCCGGAAUCACUGGGCGUAAAGGGCGCGUAGGCGGCCUGAUAAGUAGGGGGUGAAAUCCUGCGGCUUAACCGCAGGGCUGCCUUCUAAACUGUCAGGCUAGAGCACAGUAGAGGCAGGUGGAAUUCCCGGUGUAGCGGUGGAAUGCGUAGAGAUCGGGAAGAACAUCAGUGGCGAAGGCGGCCUGCUGGGCCGACACUGACACUGAGAGACGAAAGCUAGGGGAGCGAAUGGG
rnacentral:rRNA from 1 species